UACGUAGGGGGCAAGCGUUGUCCGGAAUCAUUGGGCGUAAAGAGCGUGUAGGUGGCUCGGUAAGUCCGCUGUAAAAGUCCAGGGCUCAACCCUGGAACGCCGGUGGAUACUGUCGAGCUCGAGUCCGGAAGAGGCGAGUGGAAUUCCUGGUGUAGCGGUGAAAUGCGCAGAUAUCAGGAGGAACACCAAUGGCGAAGGCAGCUCGCUGGGACGGUACUGACGCUGAGACGCGAAAGCGUGGGGAGCAAACAGG
rnacentral:rRNA from 1 species